GACUCUCGGCAACGGAUAUCUCGGCUCUUGCAUCGAUGAAGAACGUAGCGAAAUGCGAUACUUGGUGUGAAUUGCAGAAUCCCGUGAACCAUCGAGUCUUUGAACGCAAGUUGCGCCCGAAGCCAUUAGGCCAAGGGCACGCCUGCCUGGGUGUCGCA
rnacentral:rRNA from 8 species